GCAGUCGUGGCCGAGUGGUUGGCGAUGGACUCGAAAUCCAUUGGGCGCGUAGGUUCGAAUCCUACCGGCUGCG